rnacentral:rRNA from 1 species
AUGAACGCUAGCGGCAGGCCUAACACAUGCAAGUCGAGGGGCAGCGGGGAUAAGCUUGCUUAUCCGCCGGCGACCGGCGCACGGGUGCGCAACGCGUAUAGAAUCUGCCCUGUACUGGGGAAUAGCCCAGAGAAAUUUGGAUUAAUGCCCCAUGGUAUGUUUAAGCGGCAUCGCUUUUACAUUAAAGGCUACGGUACAGGAUGACUAUGCGUCCCAUUAGUUAGUUGGUAAGGUAACGGCUUACCAAGGCAGCGAUGGGUAGGGGCCCUGAGAGGGGGAUCCCCCACACUGGUACUGAGACACGGACCAGACUCCUACGGGAGGCAGCAGUGAGGAAUAUUGGACAAUGGGCGGGAGCCUGAUCCAGCCAUGCCGCGUGCAGGAAGACGGUCCUAUGGAUUGUAAACUGCUUUUGUACGGGAAGAACAAGGGGCACGUGUGCCCUUCUGACGGUACCGUAAGAAUAAGGAUCGGCUAACUCCGUGC